AUGCCAUUAAGUUCUAAUGUUGUUCAUGGAAAAUUGUAUGCUCAUGGGUCGAUGGGAGUCGUACCAUCAAAGAUUUACCUUUAUGGUACGGUUGAAUGUACAAAUGACCUUUCAGGCGUAGAUUGUAAGAAGUGUAUUGAUGUUGCAAGAAGUGAACUUUUGGGUCAUACUUAUAAAAUGAAAGUUGGUCGUGCUAUUUAUGAGAGUUGUAAUAAUAGAAAUAUUACCACUUUCACUACGUAA
rnacentral:lncRNA from 1 species